rnacentral:rRNA from 1 species
GACGAACGCUGGCGGCGUGCUUAACACAUGCAAGUCGAACGGAAAGGCCCUGCUUUUGUGGGGUGCUCGAGUGGCGAACGGGUGAGGAACACGUGAGUAACCUGCCCUUGACUUUGGGAUAACUUCAGGAAACUGGGGCUAAUACAGGAUAGGAGCUCCUGCUGCAUGGUGGGGGGUGGAAAGUUUCGGCGGUUGGGGAUGGACUCGCGGCUUAUCAGCUUGUUGGUGGGGUAGUGGCUUACCAAGGCAUUGACGGGUAGCCGGCCUGAGAGGGUGACCGGCCACAUUGGGACUGAGGUACGGCCCAGACUCCUACGGGAGGCAGCAGUGGGGAAUAUUGCACAAUGGGCGGAAGCCUGAUGCAGCAACGCCGCGUGCGGGAUGACGGCCUUCGGGUUGUAAACCGCUUUCGCCUGUGACGAAGCGUGAGUGACGGUAAUGGGUAAAGAAGCACCGGCUAACUACGUG